rnacentral:rRNA from 1 species
AGCGAACGCUGGCGGCGUGCUUAACACAUGCAAGUCGAACGUGAAAUGUAGCAAUACAGAGUAAAGUGGCGUACGGGUGAGUAACACGUGGGUAAUCUACCAAAGAGCCCGGAAUAACCGGCCGAAAGGCUGGCUAAUACUGGAUAGUUCAAGCCUGUUAUAAUGGCAGGAUUGGGAAAGGGAGCGGGUAACCGCCUUCACUUUUUGAUGAGCCCGCGUCUGAUUAGCUAGUUGGUAGGGUAAUGGCCUACCAAGGCUGAGAUCAGUAGCUGGUCUGAGAGGAUGAUCAGCCACACUGGAACUGAAACACGGUCCAGACUCCUACGGGAGGCAGCAGUGGGGAAUCUUGCGCAAUGGGCGAAAGCCUGACGCAGCGACGCCGCGUGAGUGAUGAAGGCCUUCGGGUUGUAAAGCUCUGUGGGGAGAGACGAAUAAGUGCGGGCUAAUACUCCGCAUGAUGGCGGUAUCUCCUUAGCAAGCACCGGCUAACUCUGUGCCAGCCGCCGCCGUAA